rnacentral:rRNA from 1 species
UACGAAGGGUGCAAGCGUUACUCGGAAUUACUGGGCGUAAAGCGUGCGCAGGCGGUUUUGUAAGACAGAUGUGAAAUCCCCGGGCUCAACCUGGGAACUGCGUUUGUGACUGCAAGACUCGAGUGCGGCAGAGGGGGGUGGAAUUCCACGUGUAGCAGUGAAAUGCGUAGAGAUGUGGAGGAACACCGAUGGCGAAGGCAGCCCCCUGGGCUAACACUGACGCUCAUGCACGAAAGCGUGGGGAGCAAACAGG